GCAGUGGUGGUCCAGUAGCAGAACACUAACCUUCCAUGUGGGAGACCCAGGUUCAAUUCCUAGCCAAUGGG
rnacentral:tRNA from 1 species